rnacentral:rRNA from 1 species
CCUACGGGAGGCAGCAGUGGGGAAUUUUGGACAAUGGGCGCAAGCCUGAUCCAGCCAUUCCGCGUGAGUGAAGAAGGCCUUCGGGUUGUAAAGCUCUUUCGCAAGGGAAGAAACGAUGCAGUCGAAUAAACUGCGUUAAUGACGGUACCUUG